rnacentral:lncRNA from 1 species
UUGGAGCCCAAGAAAAUAAAGUCUGUCACUCUUUCCAUUGUUUCCCCAUCCGUUUGCCAUCCCCAAAGAAAAGACUUGGCAGUUUUAUGGCCCCUGAGGUGCAUGUAGGUAUGUGGGAGGAGGGCCAGGAAUAGACUGGCCCUAACUGAGUAAUGGGGAUUUCCCUACCUCCCUUCAUAAGGAGGCCUCUAGCAGAGGCCCCAGAAGAGAACCCUGCCCCCAGGCCUCAGGUAAAAUGACUCUGGAAUGUAAAUAUGCCGCAGAGCAGGACUGACAGGGAGCCUGGGACCUUGACCACCACUCCCCUCAGGAUGCUGUGGGGUCCUGCUGUCACCAAGUCUGGUGUGGGGAAGGCAGUAUCCCUGUGAAGCCUUCCAGGGAGAGCCUUCAUAAUUGCCUGUGAUCAGGUCUGAAAGGUGACACAUGGGGAUUUAAGAGGAGCUGGACUCCUCAUUCUCAUCCUCCUUCACUCUCACUUAUUUGCUCUGAUGAGGCCAGCCAUGUCCUGAACCGACUGAAGGGAGACCCACGGGGUAACAGCUGGCACUGAAUCGAGGUCAUCAAUCCUAUUGCCCUUGAGAAACUGAAUUGUACCAACAAUCACGUGGGUGAGUUUGGAGGCAUUUCUUUUCCUUGAGAUGAUUACAGUCUCUGCUGACUCCUUGGCUGUAACCUUGUGGAGACUCCAGCUAAGCUGGGUCCAGAUUCCUGGCACUCAGAAACUAAGACGUAAUAGGUGUCUUGUUUUCAGCCUCUAAGUGCUGGGGUCGUCCGUUACACAGCGAUAGAUAACCAAUAUAUGUGCUAAGGAUUUAGUGACCACAGUUUGGGAAACUGCAUGGUCAUGAGCCUGUUUCAAAUGACUUGAUUCCUUUUCGUUGAAAGUGGACCAUAAGUACAGUGACAUUAUGUUCUUUCCUCAAGAAGGUUUAAGGAGACAAGAGGCUGGUAUUGAAAAAGAGAAGUUGGAGGGCAGGCAUCUAUUGAUGAGUUACUGGAAAGGAAUUUUUCUUUUUGGUGGGAGCACUCCCUGUGUCCUGACCUGACUGCAUGUAUGUGGUUGUCAAUGUAGCUACUUCUUGGUGGUGGUGUUUAGUUGCUGAGUCAUGCCUGACUCUUGCAACCCUAUGGACCAUAACCCACCAGGCUCCUCUGUCCACGGGAUUCUCCAGGCAAGAAUACUG